CGAACUCUGGUAUUGAUUGGUGCUUGCAUCAUGAUUUACAUUUGAGUGAGUGGCGAACUGGUGAGUAACACGUGGGAAACCUGCCCAGAAGCGGGGGAUAACACCUGGAAACAGAUGCUAAUACCGCAUAACAACUUGGACCGCAUGGUCCGAGUUUGAAAGAUGGCUUCGGCUAUCACUUUUGGAUGGUCCCGCGGCGUAUUAGCUAGAUGGUGGGGUAACGGCUCACCAUGGCAAUGAUACGUAGCCGACCUGAGAGGGUAAUCGGCCACAUUGGGACUGAGACACGGCCCAAACUCCUACGGGAGGCAGCAGUAGGGAAUCUUCCACAAUGGACGAAAGUCUGAUGGAGCAACGCCGCGUGAGUGAAGAAGGGUUUCGGCUCGUAAAACUCUGUUGUUAAAGAAGAACAUAUCUGAGAGUAACUGUUCAGGUAUUGACGGUAUUUAACCAGAAAGCCACGGCUAACUACGUGCCAGCAGCCGCGGUAAUACGUAGGUGGCAAGCGUUGUCCGGAUUUAUUGGGCGUAAAGCGAGCGCAGGCGGUUUUUUAAGUCUGAUGUGAAAGCCUUCGGCUCAACCGAAGAAGUGCAUCGGAAACUGGGAAACUUGAGUGCAGAAGAGGACAGUGGAACUCCAUGUGUAGCGGUGAAAUGCGUAGAUAUAUGGAAGAACACCAGUGGCGAAGGCGGCUGUCUGGUCUGUAACUGACGCUGAGGCUCGAAAGUAUGGGUAGCAAACAGGAUUAGAUACCCUGGUAGUCCAUACCGUAAACGAUGAAUGCUAAGUGUUGGAGGGUUUCCGCCCUUCAGUGCUGCAGCUAACGCAUUAAGCAUUCCGCCUGGGGAGUACGGCCGCAAGGCUGAAACUCAAAGGAAUUGACGGGGGCCCGCACAAGCGGUGGAGCAUGUGGUUUAAUUCGAAGCUACGCGAAGAACCUUACCAGGUCUUGACAUACUAUGCAAAUCUAAGAGAUUAGACGUUCCCUUCGGGGACAUGGAUACAGGUGGUGCAUGGUUGUCGUCAGCUCGUGUCGUGAGAUGUUGGGUUAAGUCCCGCAACGAGCGCAACCCUUAUUAUCAGUUGCCAGCAUUAAGUUGGGCACUCUGGUGAGACUGCCGGUGACAAACCGGAGGAAGGUGGGGAUGACGUCAAAUCAUCAUGCCCCUUAUGACCUGGGCUACACACGUGCUACAAUGGAUGGUACAACGAGUUGCGAACUCGCGAGAGUAAGCUAAUCUCUUAAAGCCAUUCUCAGUUCGGAUUGUAGGCUGCAACUCGCCUACAUGAAGUCGGAAUCGCUAGUAAUCGCGGAUCAGCAUGCCGCGGUGAAUACGUUCCCGGGCCUUGUACACACCGCCCGUCACACCAUGAGAGUUUGUAACACCCAAAGUCGGUGGGGUAACCUUUUAGGAACCAGCCGC
rnacentral:rRNA from 1 species